rnacentral:tRNA from 7 species
GCCCGAGUGGCGGAAUUGGUAGACGCAGUGGAUUCAAAAUCCACCGCCUAACGGCUUGCCGGUUCGAGUCCGGCCUCGGGUACCA